UGGGUAAUCUUUUGAAACUUUAUCGUGCUGGGGAUAGAGCAUUGCAAUUAUCGCUCUUCAACGAGGAAUCCCUAGUAAGCGUAAGUCAUCAGCUUGCGUUGAUUACGUCCCUGCCCUUUGUACACACCGCCCGUCGCUACUACCGAUUGAAUGGCUUAGUGAGGUCUUCGGAUCGGCGAUCGGUGAGUAGCAAUAUUCGCUGGUUGCUGAGAAGUUGAUCAAACUUGGUCAUUUAGAGGAAGUAAAAGUCGUAACAAGGUUUACGUAGGUGAACCUGCGGAAGGAUCAUU
rnacentral:rRNA from 1 species